rnacentral:rRNA from 1 species
CCUACGGGAGGCAGCAGUGAGGAAUAUUGGUCAAUGGACGAGAGUCUGACCCAGCCAAGUAGCGUGAAGGAUGACUGCCCUAUGGGUUGUAAACUUCUUUUAUAAAGGAAUAAAACGAGGCACGUGUGCCUUUUUGCAUGUACUUUAUGAAUAAGGAUCGGCUAACUCCGUGCCAGCAGCCGCGGUAAUACGGAGGAUCCGAGCGUUAUCCGGAUUUAUUGGGUUUAAAGGGAGCGUAGAUGGGUUGUUAAGUCAGUUGUGAAAGUUUGCGGCUCAACCGUAAAAGUGCAAUUGAUACUGGCAGUCUUGAGUACAGUUGAGGUAGGCGGAAUUCGUGGUGUAGCGGUGAAAUGCUUAGAUAUAACGAAGAACCCCGAUGGCGAAGGCAGCUUACUAAACUGUGACUGACAUUGAUGCUCGAAAGUGUGGGUAUCAAACAGGAUUAGAUACCCCAGUAGUC